rnacentral:miRNA from 1 species
AUGGGAGUGUGGAUGAGAGGGAAGAAUGGGAAGGGAGAGUAACAAAAGAGAAGCAAAAACUUGAAAGUGAAAACAAUUUCAAAUAGAUUUCAGUUUUUAGUUUUUGUUUUCACUUUUGUUACUCAUUCCUCCUAUCCUCCCCUCUCAUCUUCCCUCUCAAU